AUGUGGACAGUAUGGGAGUGAGAAUGUUGGCAUGAGUAGCGAGAUGUGGGUGAGAAUCCCACAGGCCGUAAACCCAAGGUUUCCAGGGGAAGGUUCGUCCGCCCUGGGUUAGUCGGGACCUAAGCUGCGGCCGAAAGGCGUAGGUGAUGGACAACAGGUUGAUAUUCCUGUACUACCGAUAACCGUUUGAGAGAUGGGAUGACACAGUAGGAUAAGCUAAGCACACUGUUGGUUAUGUGUGCCCAAGCAUUGAGGCAGUCAAAGUAGGUAAAUCCGCUUUGAUAAUGCUGGGAUGUGAUGGGGAGCGAAAUUUAGUAGCGAAGUAGCUGAUUUCACACUGUCAAGAAAAGUCUCUAUCGAGGUUAAAGGUACCCGUACCGCAAACCGACACAGGUGGGUGAGGAGAGUAUCCUAAGGCCAGCGAGAGAACUGUUGUUAAGGAACUCGGCAAAAUGACCCCGUAACUUAGGGAUAAGGGGUGCCACCAUCAGGUGGCCGCAGAGAAUAGGCCCAAGCGACUGUUUACCAAAAACAUAGGUUUCUGCUAAGUCGCAAGACGAUGUAUAGGAGCUGACGCCUGCCCGGUGCUGGAAGGUUAAGGGGAUCUGUUAGAGCAAUCGAAGCAGUGAACUUAAGCC
rnacentral:rRNA from 1 species